rnacentral:tRNA from 1 species
GCAGGAGUGGCAGAGCCUGGAAAAUGCGGGGGCCUUAAGAGCCCCUCCCUCAGGGGUUCGCCGGUCCAAACAAACCUUUUCUUUCUUUGCUCGUCGGCGUUGCGACGCCUCCUCGUCAAAGAAAGAAAAGCUUUGAUGGAAAAGAAAGAAACGGUUUUAGGGAAUCCGGCCUCCUGCA